rnacentral:rRNA from 1 species
UGCUGAUUAGCACACUCCGGUUUCUUCCCUUCUGAGAGGAUGAUCGGCCACACUGGAACUGAAACACGGUCCAGACUCCUACGGGAGGCAGCAGUGGGGAAUAUUGCGCAAUGGGCGAAAGCCUGACGCAGCGACGCCGCGUGAGGGAUGAAGGUCUUCGGAUCGUAACCUCUGUCAGAAGGAAGAAACCGGAGUGUGCUAAUCAGCA